CAGCAACUGAUGAUCGGUCGAUGCCCUACUGUCUCUCUUCCUAGUUGAAGGGGAUACGAAGCGGCGGCGGUGGCGCGAUCGCAAGAGGUUCCGGCUUCAGAGGGCGGCGGUCCGUCGGGAUCUAACAAAGGAGAUGAGUUCGUCCUCGGAGAAAUCCAUGCACAAAAGGGCCAUGGAGGCCGAUCCGACAAGCGGAGAGGAGCAAGUCCAGCCGAAGAAGAAGAAUCCGGGGAGGGAGGAGGCGCCCGCACCGCUCCCCGUGCCCGUGCCCGCGCCCUCUGCCGGACCAGCUUUCUUCAUUGAUCGCCUCGAGCUCCUCGAGGCCAAGAUGAAAGCCAAGAUUGGAAGAGACAGGGUCGCUCCGAAAUUAGCUACCCCGGAAAUUCCUACGCUCAAGGACUUCAAACCUCCCACGUAUUUUCACACUCGAGAGCUUCUCCAUGUCCGCGAAGCUGGAACCAAGGCGGCGCGCACUGCGGCUAAGUCUCUUCUUGGGAUUUCAUCCUCAGUAGGUGGCAAACCUCUAAAACGGUGCUCCGGUUUUUGGAUUGAUUGGAAUGAGGAGAGCAAAACCGGUAUUGCUUUGACAACUGCACAUCUGGUUUGCACAAGUUCUCCUGUCAACAUCUGGUUAGGCGGAGGAGAGUAUGCUUCUCAUGCUAAUGUUACUGUUCAUUUGCUAGACGGCACCAGUGCAGAGGGCCAGUUGCUCUACUACCAGCCACAUUACGAUCUUGCUUUUGUGAAGGUUAGAGUGGAUCAAUCCGUUCAGGUACCAUCUUUCCAUGAGGAAGUGAUGCUUGCUCAAGAGGUCUUUCGGCUAGGAAGAGACAAUAUGUUAGAUCUAAGGAUAACAUAUGGUAGGGCAGAAUAUCAGAAUUCAACAAUGUAUCAGCGGUAUCACAACAUGUACUUCAAUUGUACAGGUGAUACAAAAGAUGACAAGGAGUAUGACAACGGGGGGCCAGUCGUUGACUUGGAUGGAAAAGUUGUGGGAAUGUCCAACAAUAGUAAGAGAGGGACUUUUAUACCUUGGUCUAUUUUGGUCAAGUGUGUGGAUUUAUGGAAGAAAUAUGAGUAUAAGUACAUCCCCCGGCCCCACCUUGGGAUGUCGUUUAAGGCCAUCAAGCUCCUUGAGCCUGCUCAUCUUGAUAAGAUAUGGCGUAUGUAUAACAUUGAUGAUGGUCUUGUUGUUCGCAAGGUGUCAAAAGGAUCUCAUGCCGAACAAUUUGGAAUCCAAAGAGGUGAUAUUAUUGAAUGCAUCAAUGGAAAAUGUAUUUCUACAACAAUUGAGUUGGAAAAUAUGUUGGCGAGCAUAUGCAAGGGCUCCUCAGACAAUCUAAAUGACCUUAAUGUUGAAAUUCAUGUUUCUGUUAGGGUGUUCCACACGCUAAAAAAGCACCGAACGACGGGACAGUUGGCUGCAAGUGUAUCAGAUCUUGGAGAAGUUAUUAUGGACUGAGGUGUCAGGAUUGUCGGUGCCGAUACUAAUUCUGCCGUUGAGCGUUGAGGUUAAGGCUAGUGCAUGACGAACCUCGUCUCUGUAUGUGUGAUUGUGUUGUUCGGUCUUCUUCUGAGUUGCUUGUUUUUUCAUGUUUGAUGCUUUCAUCAAUUCGAUAUUGUUCUUCUAAACUUUAAGAGUUGCAGGUUGGUAAUUUCGAGCCAACACUACGGCAGGUUGGUAAUUUCGAGCCACACGCUGGUAAUUUCGAGCCAGCCCUGCAAAAACUCAUAGUUCAGUUUUCAGUCGAAUUCUGUGUUUCAGAGUGAAGUUUGAUCAUGUACAAAGUAAACGGGAUAUGCAUGGGUGACGGGCGUAGCACUUAUACCACCACACUCCAUCACAUAUUUCUAGAUAAUGCUUAGUGAACCAUCAUACCAUUACUCUAGUUGUUCUAAAAUGUUCGUUGCCUAUCUAUUUGUGUUCUUUGGAAUGGCUAGUGUGAGCUCUUUGUGGCUCGUAUCUUUAUUUUUGUUAGCCUCCAGCAAAGUUGUGAAUCAUAAGUUGUGUCCUUGUCUAUGUGUAUUAUGUUCA